rnacentral:rRNA from 1 species
GAUGAACGCUGGCGGCGUGCCUAAUACAUGCAAGUCGAGCGAACAGACGAGGAGCUUGCUCCUCUGACGUUAGCGGCGGACGGGUGAGUAACACGUGGAUAACCUACCUAUAAGACUGGGAUAACUUCGGGAAACCGGAGCUAAUACCGGAUCAUAUAUUGAACCGCAUGGUUCAAUAGUGAAAGCCGGUUUUGCUGUCACUUAUAGAUGGAUCCGCGCCGCAUUAGCUAGUUGGUAAGGUAACGGCUUACCAAGGCAACGAUGCGUAGCCGACCUGAGAGGGUGAUCGGCCACACUGGAACUGAGACACGGUCCAGACUCCUACGGGAGGCAGCAGUAGGGAAUCUUCCGCAAUGGGCGAAAGCCUGACGGAGCAACGCCGCGUGAGUGAUGAAGGUCUUCGGAUCGUAAAACUCUGUUAUUAGGGAAGAACAAAUGUGUAAGUAACUAUGCACGUCUUGACGGUACCUAAUCAGAAAGCCACGGCUAACUACGUG